rnacentral:rRNA from 1 species
AUUGAACGCUGGCGGCAGGCCUAACACAUGCAAGUCGAGCGGAUGAAGGGAGCUUGCUCCUGGAUUCAGCGGCGGACGGGUGAGUAAUGCCUAGGAAUCUGCCUGGUAUUGGGGGAUAACGUCCGGAAACGGGCGCUAAUACCGCAUACGUCCUGAGGGAGAAAGUGGGGGAUCUUCGGACCUCACGCUAUCAGAUGAGCCUAGUUCGGAUUAGCUAGUUGGUGGGGUAAAGGCCUACCAAGGCGGCUAUCCGUAACUGGUCUUGGAGGAUGAUCAGUCACACUGGAACUGAGACACGGUCCAGACUCCUACGGGAGGCAGCAGUGGGGAAUAUUGGACAAUGGGCGAAAGCCUGAUCCAGCCAUGCCGCGUGUGUGAAGAAGGUCUUCGGAUUGUAAAGCACUUUAAGUUGGGAGGAAGGGCAGUAAGUUAAUACCUUGCUGUUUUGACGUUACCAACAGAAUAAGCACCGGCUAACUUCGUG